rnacentral:tRNA from 1 species
GCCGACGUAGCUCAAUGGUAGAGCACAGCACUCAUAACGCUGCGGUCGCAGGUCCGAUUCCUGCCGUCGGCA